rnacentral:tRNA from 1 species
GGUGUCUUACUUUAAUUAAAAAGUUUUGUGUUGCUUACAGAGAAUAGUGAGAGGUUUUACUAGGCACUA